GCUGCGGCAAAAUCCGUAGCCGGAAUUGGCGUUCCGACACUUACCACGUUGCCUAAAAGACACGGAUUUAUUACGUGUCUUUUAU
rfam:Lonsdalea quercina strain ATCC 29281 genome assembly, contig: Ga0052894_scaffold00008.8